GUGAAUCAUCGAAUUUUUGAACGCAAAUUGCACCCCCUUCGGAGAGUAUGCCUGUUUGAGGGUCAGCCUAAUAAAAAUCGACAUAGUUGCUGUUACGUGGUAACAUUCGCCGGAAAUUGGGUCAUUUUAAACCUUUGGGUUUAAGCGGCUUAAAAUUUUCUUUACGAUUCCAAGAACGUUUCUAAGAUUCUAUUUUCUUAUACGUUUAUGGUAUCGAUCUUUAUUAGACGUGGUCGUUGCAUUGGAUUUCGUCUAUACAUAUUUCGUUAACGG
rnacentral:misc_RNA from 1 species